CCUACGGGUGGCAGCAGUGGGGAAUAUUGCACAAUGGGGGAAACCCUGAUGCAGCGACGCCGCGUGAGUGAAGAAGUAUUUCGGUAUGUAAAGCUCUAUCAGCAGGGAAGAAAAUGACGGUACCUGUAUAAGAAGCCCCGGCUAACUACGUGCCAGCAGCCCCGGUAAUACGUAGGGGGCAAGCGUUAUCCGGAUGUACUGGGUGUAAAGGGAGCGUAGACGGCAGCACAAGUCUGAAGUGAAAUGCCGGGGCUUAACCCCGGAACUGCUGUGGAAACUGUGCGGCUCGAGUGCAGGAGAGGUAAGUGGAAUGCCUGGGGUAGCGGUGAAAUGCGUAGAUAUUAGGAAGAACACCAGUGGCGAAGGCGGCUUACUGGACUGUAACUGACGUUGAGGCUCGAAAGCGUGGGGAGCAAACAGGAUUAGAUACCCGUGUAGUC
rnacentral:rRNA from 1 species